rnacentral:rRNA from 1 species
AGUGAACGCUGGCGGUAGGCCUAACACAUGCAAGUCGAACGGCAGCACAGUAAGAGCUUGCUCUUACGGGUGGCGAGUGGCGGACGGGUGAGGAAUACAUCGGAAUCUACUUUUUCGUGGGGGAUAACGUAGGGAAACUUACGCUAAUACCGCAUACGACCUCCGGGUGAAAGCAGGGGAUCUUCGGACCUUGCGCGAUUGAAUGAGCCGAUGUCGGAUUAGCUAGUGGGCGGGGUAAAGGCCCACCAAGGCGACGCUCCGUAGCUGGUCUGAGAGGAUGAUCAGCCACACUGGAACUGAGACACGGUCCAGACUCCUACGGGAGGCAGCAGUGGGGAAUAUUGGACAAUGGGCGCAAGCCUGAUCCAGCCAUACCGCGUGGGUGAAGAAGGCCUUCGGGUUGUAAAGCCCUUUUGUUGGGAAAGAAAAGCAGCAGGUUAAUACCCCGCUGUUCUGACGGUACCCAAAGAAUAAGCACCGGCUAACUUCGUG